AGCCAACGCUGGCGGCAGGCUUAACACAUGCAAGUCGAGCGGGCAUCCUUGUGGUGUCAGCGGCAGACGGGUGAGUAACGCGUGGGAACGUGCCCUUCGGUUCGGAAUAACUCAGGGAAACUUGAGCUAAUACCGGAUACGUGCGAGAGCAGAAAGGUUUAUCUGCCGAAGGAUCGGCCCGCGUCUGAUUAGCUAGUUGGUGAGGUUACGGCUCACCAAGGCGACGAUCAGUAGCUGGUCUGAGAGGAUGAUCAGCCACACUGGGACUGAGACACGGCCCAGACUCCUACGGGAGGCAGCAGUGGGGAAUAUUGGACAAUGGGGGCAACCCUGAUCCAGCCAUGCCGCGUGAGUGAUGACGGCCUUAGGGUUGUAAAGCUCUUUUCUCCGGGACGAUAAUGACGGUACCGGAGGAAUAAGCCCCGGCUAACUUCGUG
rnacentral:rRNA from 1 species